AACCUUCUGAAUCAAUGCCGAGAUUUCAUCAGACACUAGACCAUCAGGACUGAUGAGAAUACAAAGAUAAGUGAAGAA
rfam:Schistosoma rodhaini strain Burundi genome assembly, scaffold: SROB_scaffold0003577